UGCCUCGUGGUCUAGUGGUAUGAUUCUCGUUUCGGGUGCGAGAGGUCCCGGGUUCGAUUCCCGGUGAGGCCC
rnacentral:tRNA from 1 species